rnacentral:rRNA from 1 species
UACGUAGGGUGCGAGCGUUAAUCGGAAUUACUGGGCGUAAAGCGUGCGCAGGCGGUUUUGUAAGCCAGAUGUGAAAUCCCCGGGCUCAACCUGGGAAUGGCAUUUGGGACUGCAAGGCUUGAGUGCGGCAGAGGAGACUGGAAUUCCUGGUGUAGCAGUGAAAUGUGUAGAUAUCAGGAGGAAUACCGAUGGCGAAGGCAGGUCUCUGGGCUGACACUGACGCUCAUGCACGAAAGCGUGGGGAGCAAACAGG